AUGGCACGCUGGUUAUCCAGGGACACAUCCCCCUCUCCUCUAUGGCACGCUGGUUAUCCAGGGACACAUCCCCUCUCCUCUAUGGCACGCUGGUUAUCCAGGGACACAUCCCCCUCUCCUCUAUGGCACGCUGGUUAUCCAGGGACACAUCCCCCUCUCCUCUAUGGCACGCUGGUUAUCCAGGGACACAUCCCCCUCUCCUCUAUGGCACGCUGGUUAUCCAGGGACACAUCCCCCUCUCCUCUAUGGCACGCUGGUUAUCCAGGGACACAUCCCCCUCUCCUCUAUGGCACGCUGGUUAUCCAGGGACACAUCCCCCUCUCCUCUAUGGCACGCUGGUUAUCCAGGGACACAUCCCCCUCUCCUCUAUGGCACGCUGGUUAUCCAGGGACACAUCCCCCUCUCCUCUAUAGCAUGCUGGUUAUCCAGGGACACAUCCCCCUCUCCUCUAUGGCACGCUGGUUAUCCAGGGACACAUCCCCCUCUCCUCUAUGGCACGCUGGUUAUCCAGGGACACAUCCCCCUCUCCUCUAUAGCAUGCUGUUUAUCCAGGGACACAUCCCCCUCUCCUCUAUGGCACGCUGGUUAUCCAGGGACACAUCCCCCUCUCCUCUAUGGCAUGCUGGUUCAUCGUUAUCGGGGACACAUCCCCCUCUCCUCUAUGGCACGCUGGUUAUCCAGGGACACAUCCCCCUCUCCUCUAUGGCACGCUGGUUAUCCAGGGACACAUCCCCCUCUCCUCUAUGGCACGCUGGUUAUCCAGGGACACAUCCCCCUCUCCUCUAUGGCACGCUGGUUAUCCAGGGACACAUCCCCCUCUCCUCUAUAGCACGCUGGUUAUCCAGGGACACAUCCCCCUCUCCUCUAUGGCACGCUGGUUAUCCAGGGACACAUCCCCCUCUCCUCUAUGGCAUGCUGGUUAUCCAGGCACACAUCCCCCUCUCCUCUAUGGCACGCUGGUUAUCCAGGCACACAUCCCCCUCUCCUCUAUGGCAUGCUGGUUAUCCAGGGACACAUCCCCCUCUCCUCUAUGGCAUGCUGGUUAUCCAGGCACACAUCCCCCUCUCCUCUAUGGCAUGCUGGUUAUCCAGGGACACAUCCCCCUCUCCUCUAUGGCACGCUGGUUAUCCAGGGACACAUCCCCCUCUCCUCUAUGGCACGCUGGUUAUCCAGGGACACAUCCCCCUCUCCUCUAUGGCACGCUGGUUAUCCAGGGACACAUCCCCCUCUCCUCUAUGGCACGCUGGUUAUCCAGGGACACAUCCUCCUCUCCUCAAUGGCAAGCUGGUUAUCCAGGCACACAUCCCCCUCUCCUCUAUGGCACGCUGGUUAUCCAGGCACACAUCCCCCUCUCCUCUAUGGCAUGCUGGUUAUCCAGGGACACAUCCCCCUCUCCUCUAUGGCAUGCUGGUUAUCCAGGCAUACAUCCCCCUCUCCUCUAUGGCACGCUGGUUAUCUAGGGACACAUCCCCCUCUCCUCUAUGGCACGCUGGUUAUCCAGGCACACAUCCCCCUCUCCUCUAUGGCACGCUGGUUAUCCAGGCACACAUCCCCCUCUCCUCUAUGGCAUGCUGGUUAUCCAGNNNNNNNNNNNNNNNNNNNNNNNNNNNNNNNNNNNNNNNNNNNNNNNNNNGGACCAAUUGA
rnacentral:lncRNA from 8 species